GUGGACGUGGCUCAGUGGUAGAGCACAUGCUUGUCAUGGAUGAGGCCCUGGUUCAAUUCCCAGUAUCACACA
rnacentral:tRNA from 1 species